GUAGUUCUGCAGCUGCCAAGCUUGUCAUUCUUCCUCCUGCACACCCAGCUAUUUGGGUACUGCAAAUGCCAGGUGAGGUACCUCAGUUUCUACCAGUCCUGCUCUUCUUGCCCUCCAGGUACAGGGUAGGUGUGGGGCAGGUAGCCAGGGAGAGAUGAGGUGUCUCCCAAGCUAAGGAUUGCUGAGAUUGGACUGCAGCUGAAUCAGGGCAUUAACCCAUCUGGAACAAAAAGCUCAGUUGGAUCAAAGGAAAGACACCACACCAAGGGAAUCUAAGUAACCAGAAUGUGGCCUCUGCUCAGAUGCAAGACAGUUUCUCUCCCUCAUCAAAGUUAGAUCAAGUGGCCCCCACCUCUUCCUGUUCUCUGCAUUAUCUGUUUAAGACCUACCACAAACCCAGCCACAAAUUAGAAAAUUAACUCUCCUGGAAAUUCAUAGUUGGAGUCAUCCAGAGAAGACUUCUGGGAUCAAAAAGUUGAAGCCUUAAUUCAGAAUUGAAGACCAAAGGGUAUGGCCUUCCGGGAGCAUGGCCUUCAGGGAGCCCUCAGGGAGCCAGUCUGAGUCUGACCACUUUCUAUACUGCUUUGUGUUGGAGGAAGGAAAUGUCCUCUGUUAAAGUAUUUGAACAGAAAAAGAAGAUAGAAUUAGGUAAAAGGUUGCUAUAAGGGAACCUGAAAACACUCUACUACCGCUCAAUAACCCCUGUGGGGUGAACCCAGAAUCUUGCAAAAAGGAGACAACGCACCAGGUAUUUUCUCUCAUCUAGACCCACUUCGGUACACCUCUUCCCUCCCUGCCUCCAGUACUGUCACACACUCAGGUCUGGUGGUUUGUUCACCCUGAUUUCCUGGAAACUCCACCUACCAUCCAACCUCUCCCAGGUCCACUCAUCUGGCUGCAGCCAGAGACC
rnacentral:lncRNA from 1 species